rnacentral:rRNA from 1 species
GAUGAACGCUGGCGGCGUGCCUAAUACAUGCAAGUCGAGCGAACAGACGAGGAGCUUGCUCCUCUGACGUUAGCGGCGGACGGGUGAGUAACACGUGGAUAACCUACCUAUAAGACUGGGAUAACUUCGGGAAACCGGAGCUAAUACCGGAUAAUAUAUUGAACCGCAUGGUUCAAUAGUGAAAGACGGUUUUGCUGUCACUUAUAGAUGGAUCCGCGCCGCAUUAGCUAGUUGGUAAGGUAACGGCCUACCAAGGCAACGAUGCGUAGCCGACCUGAGAGGGUGAUCGGCCACACUGGAACUGAGACACGGUCCAGACUCCUACGGGAGGCAGCAGUAGGGAAUCUUCCGCAAUGGGCGAAAGCCUGACCGAGCCACGCCGCGUGAGUGAAGAAGGUCUUCGGGUUGUAAAACUCUUUUAUUAGGGAAGAACAAAUGUGUAAGUAACUAUGCACGUCUUGACGGUACCUAAUCAGAAAGCCCCGGCUAACUACGUG